rnacentral:misc_RNA from 1 species
GGAUGUUCUGAAAGGUUCCAACAGCUUCAGGUAACCAAUAAUAGACCACUAAUUCAAGAACCCAUUCUCCAUGCAAAGGGAAAACAGCAGCAGGCUCCGUGUCAAACCAAACAGCUAGAAGAAACGCACAACACCAAGUUCGAAUUCGAAGAUUAUGAAGAAGAUGAAGAAGAACAAGAACAAGAAUCACAAGAAGAGUAUGAAGAUGAAGAGAAAACAAGCUGCUACACAACCUCCACAACGCCCCACUCUCGUUGUUCUAGAGGUGUAUCAACAGACGAGCUCGAAGAGCAACCUCCAAAAAUCCCCACCUGUGAGUCAACUCACCACGGCUCGUCCCCGCCGUCAACAUCCUCAAUAAUACUCUCAGCAGAUAAAACCCACCAAAACUCCACCAACACCACUUCUAAACGAUUUGAAGAUGGUGACCCAAUUGCCCCCGUCUCAGGAGUGCCUCGGAACUCGGUCCUGCUCCAACUCAUUUCGUGUGGAAACUUAGCUGUGGCUAAAGCAAAGGGUAAUGCACCGAGUUUAAAGCAAUCAGCAAAGACGAACAGCAUCAAUGUAGUUAAAAGGAGCGAAAGCGAUCUCCACAAAGGAGUAUUGUGUAAAAGUGCAUUAAAGGUUGCUGAGGAGGAUAUGAUAAUCAAAUACAUGUCUGAGAAUCCUAGGUUUGGAAAUUUACAGGCGGAAGAGAAGGAAUAUUUUAGCGGCAGCAUUGUUGAAUCUAUGAGUGAGAACCGAGUUGCUGCGGAGCCAGGGUUGAAGCGAUCAAACUCAUAUAAUGAAGAAAGGAGCACGAAGAACGGGCUGGAAGAAGUAGUGCAGGAGGACAUUAAAGAGAAAGCAGGAAGAGGCAAGUGUAUCCCUCGCAGGAAGGCUUCAUCAUCGUUUAAACAAACCAGAAAAUGAAUAUAUAAUAGCGUUGUGUUGAGUGGAGUGGUUGUUGCAGUAAUUAUUAGCACUUAUUAGCUAAUGUUUCUUUCUUGCUUAGUAUCAUCAUUAAUUACCAAGGGUAAUUGUAGUCCCGUGGAAAGUUGAUGAAAUGUUGUAAAAUCUUGGAGUUGGGGAAUGAAGAAGAUGUUGAGAUUGUAACCAUGGUGAGAUUUCUUCUUCAUUUGAUUUGGUUGCAGGUUUCCUGUCAUGUGACCAGUUUAAUGGCUCUGUUGAAGCGC